GAAUAUCCUUGACCACGAGGAAAACGGAUCAGAGACUGAAACAUGAGUUUCUUGUCUUAAAAAGUUGCAGCUGCCUGUUAAACUGAUUGUGGCUGUGCACAGGAUCUUGUGUGUUUUCACCACUUACUUUGUGGUUCCAGAGUAGAGCACUGAAUAUCCUUGACCACGAGGAAAACGGAUCAGAGACUGAAACAUGAGUUUCUUGUCUUAAAAAGUUGCAGCUGCCUGUUAAACUGAUUGUGGCUGUGCACAGGAUCUUGUGUGUUUUCACCACUUACUUUGUGGUUCCAGAGUAGAGCACUGAAUAUCCUUGACCACAAGGAAAACGGAUCAGAGACUGGAACAUGAGUUUCUUGUCUUAAAAUGUUGCAGCUGCCUGUUAAACUGAUUGU
rnacentral:lncRNA from 1 species